AGAAUCAACGCUGGCGGCGUGCCUAACACAUGCAAGUCGAACGCGAAAGUCCCGCAAGGGAUAAGUAGAGUGGCAAACGGGUGAGUAACGCGUGGGUGACCUACCUUCGAGUGGGGGAUAACCUUCCGAAAGGAGGGCUAAUACCGCAUGAUAUGCCGUGUUUAGAUACAUGGCCAUCAAAGCCGGGGAUCGCAAGACCUGGCGCUUGGAGAGGGGCCCGCGUCCGAUUAGCUAGUUGGUGGGGUAACGGCUCACCAAGGCUCCGAUCGGUA
rnacentral:rRNA from 1 species